rnacentral:rRNA from 13 species
GGUAGCGACGGCGUGAAAUGGUUCCCUGAUUCUGGUCCGAGAUCUGCCUUCCAGUUAAAUGGCUGUAGGGAGCUUGACUGCAAGACCUACAAGUC